rnacentral:rRNA from 1 species
CUUGCUUCCACUGAGAAGAUAGUGGCGGACGGGUGAGUAACACGUGGGUAACCUGCCCAUAAGAGGGGGGAUAACAUCCGGAAACGGGUGCUAAUACCGCAUAGUUUUCUUGAUCGCAUGAUUGAGAAAGGAAAGACGGCCUUUGUGCUGUCGCUUAUGGAUGGACCCGCGGCGUAUUAGUUAGUUGGUGAGGUAAUGGCUCACCAAGACGAUGAUACGUAGCCGACCUGAGAGGGUGAUCGGCCACAUUGGGACUGAGACACGGCCCAAACUCCUACGGGAGGCAGCAGUAGGGAAUCUUCCGCAAUGGACGAAAGUCUGACGGAGCAACGCCGCGUGAGUGAAGAAAGGUUUUUCGGAUCGUAAAACUCUGUUGUCAGAGAAGAACAAGUUGGAGAGUAACUGCUCCAGCCUUGACGGUAUCUGACCAGAAAGCCACGGCUAACUACGUGCCAGCCGCCGC